rnacentral:tRNA from 1 species
GGCCGGCGGCCCGGGCGGCCCGAGCCGCCCCGAGAGCGGCGCGGGCCGCCGCGAGGGCGGCACCGGCCGUUCGAGGCGUCCGCGGGGCC